rnacentral:rRNA from 1 species
CCUACGGGGGGCAGCAGUGGGGAAUAUUGGACAAUGGGGGCAACCCUGAUCCAGCCAUGCCGCGUGUGUGAAGAAGGCCCUCGGGUUGUAAAGCACUUUCAGUGAGGAAGAACGCCUGGUGGUUAAUACCCAUCAGGAAAGACAUCACUCACAGAAGAAGCACCGGCUAACUCCGUGCCAGCAGCCGCGGUAAUACGGAGGGUGCGAGCGUUAAUCGGAAUUACUGGGCGUAAAGCGCGCGUAGGUGGCUUGAUAAGCCGGUUGUGAAAGCCCCGGGCUCAACCUGGGAACGGCAUCCGGAACUGUCAAGCUAGAGUGCAGGAGAGGAGGGUAGAAUUCCCGGUGUAGCGGUGAAAUGCGUAGAGAUCGGGAGGAAUACCAGUGGCGAAGGCGGCCUUCUGGACUGACACUGACACUGAGGUGCGAAAGCGUGGGUAGCAAACAGGAUUAGAUACCCCGGUAGUC